UACGAAGGGUGCAAGCGUUAGUCGGAAUUACUGGGCGUAAAGCGUGCGUAGGCGGUUUCUUAAGUCCGUUGUGAAAGCCCUGGGCUCAACCUGGGAACUGCAGUGGAUACUGAGAGGCUAGAGUGCGUCAGAGGAUGGUGGAAUUCCCGGUGUAGCGGUGAAAUGCGUAGAGAUCGGGAGGAACAUCAGUGGCGAAGGCGGCCAUCUGGGACAACACUGACGCUGAGGCACGAAAGCGUGGGGAGCAAACAGG
rnacentral:rRNA from 1 species